AAACAUGGAAGAGCAAGAAGGGGACCAGGAGGCAUACCGAAGUGGCAGUUCAUCGUUGAUAUCCGGUGCGACAAUGAGAAGGGCUCAACCACCUCCAGGGUUGUCUCCUUCUUCGAUAAACAUUUGCAAAGCUUAUCAUGCAGGACGUUCACAUGACACUCCUAUGGUUGAUUUUGAGGAAGAUGAGGCCGAUGAAGAAGAUAUUGACUAUGAAGAAGAAGAGGAAGGAGAAGAAGAUGAGGA